GACGAACGCUGGCGGCGUGCCUAAUACAUGCAAGUCGAGCGAAUCGAUGGGAGCUUGCUCCCUGAGAUUAGCGGCGGACGGGUGAGUAACACGUGGGUAACCUGCCUGUAAGACUGGGAUAACUUCGGGAAACCGGAGCUAAUACCGGAUACUUUCUUUUCUCGCAUGAGGGAAGAUGGAAAGAUGGUUCUGCUAUCACUUACAGAUGGACCCGCGGCGCAUUAGCUAGUUGGUGAGGUAACGGCUCACCAAGGCAACGAUGCGUAGCCGACCUGAGAGGGUGAUCGGCCACACUGGGACUGAGACACGGCCCAGACUCCUACGGGAGGCAGCAGUAGGGAAUCUUCCGCAAUGGACGAAAGUCUGACGGAGCAACGCCGCGUGAGCGAAGAAGGCCUUCGGGUCGUAAAGCUCUGUUGUUAGGGAAGAACAAGUACGAGAGUAACUGCUCGUACCUUGACGGUACCUAACCAGAAAGCCACGGCUAACUACGUGCCAGCCGCCGCAGUAACAC
rnacentral:rRNA from 1 species